rnacentral:lncRNA from 1 species
GUAAGACAAGAUCCAACCAGGACCACUUGUUUGAUGCCCCCAGUAGGCUCAUCGUGCGAGGAAACCGGUGAAGGUUAUGUCAAGUGUGCAUGAACCUGGUCUUGGAGCUACCACAAAGUCAAGGAAAGCAAGAUGAAGCGACUAAUAAGAGCUGGUCUUUCUGUUGCCCACUGUGAUGAACAGAUGUCAAAGUGUUGAAUCUGUUAUGUUUUUACAUAUGCACUUUCAUAAUGUGUAAAUAUGGGAAUUGUAAAGUUGGACAUGAUGUGAUGUUGUGUCUUACGUAAACAGAAAAUAAGACAUUUUUAUCUACUGAUUAUCAUUGGACAAAGAAAGUCAUAUUCAGAUUUGUCAAUGAAUAAAACACUUGAACUUCAUAUAUGGCUGUAAAUAUAUCUUUAUUACAAGUUAACAUGGUUGAUAAAAACAACAUUAAA